rnacentral:rRNA from 1 species
GGAAGUAAAAGUCGUAACAAGGUUUCCGUAGGUGGUUUGCCUGUCGGAUUCCCCCGCAGCGACUCUAAAGAACUGCGCCAGUCGGGCUUCACCUCAGAGCCUGGCGACGCCAUCAGUCUGGCUGGGAGCCCCCUACGCGGGGGCUACCAGCAGCUCCUUCGGGAGUCCACAGAUCAAACGAUGAGCGGCCGCAACACUGCGGUUCAGAUAUGACCGGCCCCAGCCUUCAUCGGCUGGUGACUUCUUGCGGAACCUGCGGAAGGAUCAUUAAUGAGAGAGGGGUUUCGCGCUCCGGCGGCUUCGCGGCCGCCAACUCUUCACCCUGUGUCUAAUCUACCUAUGUUGCUUUGGCGGGCCCUGGGGGUCACCCCACGCCAACCGUGGGCUUUGCGGCCCGGGUCGGUCAGCGCCCGUCAAAGGCCCUGUAUCAACUCUGUUUAUCAGUGAUGUCCGAGUACAAAUAUAAUAAUCAAAACUUUCAACAACGGAUCUCUUGGUUCUGGCAUCGAUGAAGAACGCAGCGAAAUGCGAUAAGUAAUGUGAAUUGCAGAAUUCAGUGAAUCAUCGAAUCUUUGAACGCACAUUGCGCCCCUCGGUAUUCCGGGGGGCAUGCCUGUUCGAGCGUCAUUGCACCCCUCAAGCGUAGCUUGGUGUUGGGCUCUCGCCCCCGCGGCGGGCCCGAAAGUCAGUGGCGGUCCGGAGCGACUUCGAGCGUAGUAAAUUUUCUCCCGCUUUGGAAGCUCGCCCCGUGGCCGGCCAAAACGGCCAACUUCAAUGAUGACCUCGGAUCAGGU